UACGGAGGGAGCGAGCGUUGUCCGAAGUUACUGGGCGUAAAGCGCGCGUAGGCGGGAAAUUAAGUGAGAAGUGAAAGGCUGGGGCUUAACCCCAUGCAGUGCUCCUCAUACUGGUUUUCUUGAGGGUGGUAGAGAGAAGUGGAAUGGCUGGUGUAGCGGUGAAAUGCGUAGAUAUCAGUCGGAACACCAGUGGCGAAGGCGGCUUCUUGGGCCAUUACUGACGCUGAGGCGCGAAAGCGUGGGGAGCAAACAGG
rnacentral:rRNA from 1 species